UGGCGGCCACAGCGCGCCACCCCGAGGGGGAGCUCCUGGAGUGCUGGGCGAGCUGGGCGCUGAGGGCAGGACGCAGGCUGGGGGCGGCCCUGGAGAGAAUAAGCCUUGAGGUCUUUGGCUGCUACACUUCCCGAAGGAGGCGGCCCAUUGGGGGUCAGGUGGGGGAUGGGACCCCAAAGAGGAGAGGCGGGCUUAAUCGCCCAGUCUCAGAAGCACGUUCGAGUAAAUGGGAGCGACUGACACUGGAAUUAUUCGCAGCUUUCCAACAACUCACACCUCCCUUAAGAGCUGCGCCACGUCGAGCCAGCCCUGCGCUGGGGAUAGGUUGGGGGCAGGGGCGAGCAACAGCCGCAAGGAGGCUAUGCGGGCUCUCUGGAAGGUGCCUGGGGCCAGUCUUGGGAGGCCUUCCUUGAACCUCCGCUAGAAACGGAAAUGACAGACAAUGUGAAUCUUGUCCCAUUGGAAAUGAGUACAACGGAGAAGUACAGUCUUUUUAGUAGAAACACAUCAUGUCAAAUCUACAGAUCACUUUACCAUUGCUGGCAAAGAAUAAAAGCCGAGGGAAAUAAGGCUCAGAGAAGAUAUCCAAAUUCAUACUCAUAGGAAGUGGCAGAGCCAGAACAGGAACUCUGUUCCCUCAGUUGCCAAAGCCCACAUCUUUCAAGGAUGUCAUGUGAGGCAGAGGAACCUACAGCAGCUGUGUUGUAAAUUCUCUGAAGACAGGGACAUGGAACGGUGCCUCCCUGUCUGUCCUCCAGCAAGUAGGGUUCUGGAUAGGAACCCAAUAGACACUUCUGAUCAGUAAGAGGGAAUGAGGCCCUGACAUCUGGGAUUGUCAUAUGCUGUCUUGUCAGAGAACUCCUACUUAACUAAUUCUACCCAGCCCACAGCAUGUUAUAUCUAAGAGUUUUUGCAGGAGCUGUUGGAUUUUGGGGCAAGGUCAUGGACUCCAGAAAACAUCCUCUGAAGAGUCUGUCCUCGGAUAUGCCCUUUAUUGGAGGUUACAUCAUGAAGUUUUGAGCGCCACUCUCUGAUAUCAGCCUAAGGAAUGCCACUGACGGGACUCCAGCAGUGAGGACUACUUCAGAGACAUCUACCCAGACCCCUGUCCAAGCCAUCCCUUUCUUCCUGACUCUUCCCUUCCUCAUACUGCUAGACACAGAUGCAAGGUGUUGCAGAGAACUGGUGAAUGGAAAGGACUCAGGGCAAGAUGAAGAAACUGAAUCACCAAAGCUCAUGCCACUGAAUCACCAAAGCACAUGCUGAUUGUGUGGAGGAGCCAAAAGGUGAACCCAAGCAGUCUGACCCCAUCGCUUGUGCUCCUAGGACCUACCCUAGCCUGUGACCUAGACAAGCCACUUAAGCUCUCUGAACCUCUUCACACUGGGGCUGGGCAUGCCUGCCUCAACUGCCUUUGGCCAGAAACUAGUGGUGACUCAGAUGAAAAGAACUAAAAAAAAAAAAAAAAUGUCCUGAAAAGCAGGACAUCCGCGACACAUCUCACUGUUGUAUCCUGAAGUGACAACAAUUGUUUGGAAUGGGGGACCUUCAAUAACAGAGGACUCCAGAUGGAAUGGAAACCCAGAACUCACCUGAGCUGCCAUUGCUGAGUUUGGAGAGCCAGGAGGAAGUCCAUUUCAUGGCAGGUGGUCCUUUGCAUUAAGUGAGGAACCAGGAAUCAGAAGUGUGGGGGACACGGUGACAGCACCCACCCUAUCAUGGCCUUGUACGUAGACUCUGCCUCAGUGAGCACCAGGGGAAGUUUAGCAAGGAGAGUCUCAUGAUAAGGCAGUUGACAGGAAAGAAAAAAGCUGUCUCUGGCUCUCAAAGUUUCCAUUUGGAGUAAAUUUUCAGAGUGGAAAAUUGAUUAUUUAAACUUCAUUUUUUUUUCUUAAAGAAUAGACUUUUGUUGGUUCUGUCUCAGUGAUUUUAAUUAACUUUCAGAAGUCUAUAGCAAUAACUGUUACCUAUGAUGCUAUUAUAGAAAAAUGUGAUGGGCAUAGAUAAAAUUAAAUGUUAAUUGGCAUAAUUACCUAGUUAAUAUUCUAAGAUAUGUUAUCUACAUUUUUCUGCUUUUACCUUAUUGUACAUUGUAGUUCAAUAUGAAGAUUUAAAAAGGAACUUUCUCUUCAUCUCCACUGAGUUAUUUCUCACUUUGAGUUUGCUAGUUAUUAGUCAGAGAUGAUAAUAAUAAUUUUUCUUAAAGUGCAGGCUGUAACUGAGAAUUUCCAAAAUGCAGUGAGUCACCUCUGGAGCAGACAAGUCAUUUAUCCCCAAACCUCAGAUUCAGACGUUGUGCCAGGAAGGGGAUCCAGGAUUCCCCAUCCUUAACACCAAGCAUCAGUACCAUGACCUCCUCACCAUGUGGCAUGGCUGUCCUUGACUAGUCCACGUGAAUUGCUGGGUCCCUUCAAGCAGGCCUCUGAGAAAGCUCUAAUUUUCAUGUCCCACCAACCAGUAGCUUCCAUAUUCAUUACCUCAGCGUCACUCGACAUGUGACCCCUCCAAACUUAUGUCCUACUGCGAAAUGGUGACAGACAUUCAUCAGCUACACUGGAAAAUCUGCCCAGAUUACUGUGUAGAUAAUGCCCAGUGUAAGGACUUGGAUUAUUAGGAGAUCCAGUUUCUAGGAGUUCCCUGGUGGCCUAGCAGUUAAUUAUCUGGCAUUGUCGCUGCUGUGGCAGGGAUCGAAUCCUCAGUCUGGGAACUUCCACAUGCUGCAGGUUAUGCACGUCCCCCACCCCAAAAGGAGAUCUAGCUUUUAGAACCUAUUCUGCCAAAAGCCUUUGAACUGCAGACUCUCAGUACAACUCAGUGCUAGGUCACUUAAACUUCAGUCAUUUUUAUUUUAUUCUGCACUAUUAUUUACUUUGUACUUUUCUCUAAAUGAUUUA